rnacentral:misc_RNA from 1 species
GCAAACUUGGUCAUUUAGAGGAAGUAAAAGUCGUAACAAGGUUUCCGUAGGUGAACCUGCGGAAGGAUCAUUACUGAAGAAAUGAUAGGGCUUGAGCUGACUCUGCGGAGUAUGUGCUUGCACUAUCGCUUUUUCUAUUCUCCCUUGUGAACCUUUUGUAGACUUUUAUGAUAUUGACUUAGGUCAUUUGAAACUCGCAUCCUAAUGCUUGAUUCUACUCUUAUCAUAUUGGUCUAUGAUUUUUACAUAUCUACUCUUCAGUUUAUGAAUGUCUCUUUGUUGGUUUUGAAUACCAAUAAAUUGUUUGUACAACUUUCAGCAACGGAUCUCUUGGCUCUCGCAUCGAUGAAGAACGCAGC